rnacentral:lncRNA from 1 species
AGCCAUCAAAUUUAAAUUUGAUGUUUGGUAUUUGACAUCUCUCUUAGAGAUGUUCUUAAGGGGUCAAAAUAUAUCAAAUACAUAUGCAUCUGGGAGUUACAAUGUCAUUUUCCAUAAUUAAUAAGACAAGUUAAUAUUACAAUAUCAUUUUUCGUAAUUGUAAAAUUAGGGGGUCAUUCUCAUACGGUCUUGAAAUGCCACAGAUGUCGGAAUGUGAACCUAAUAACGCAUCCAUUUAACCAAGGAAUCCCAUAAAGACCAACAACGAGACAGGCACACAUUACACUUAUUCCAGCAGUUUGAUCAGAUUGCCAUUUAGCAAAUCUACCAUAGAAAAGCCAAUCAUGUUUUUCAUUACAAACUUUUUUUUUUUUUUUUUUCUUACUUAAAUCACAGCUGGGUGGUAUUGUGUGAGAGUGGGCAAAGGCCAAAAGGCAGAUAGAAGGGAAAACCGUGUGGGUCCCAUACCCAUGACAAAAUCCUUCUCCCCUGGACUUUUUCGCUCGCAUGGCCAUGGUCCUAGUAGUCUAGUACUCAUGUGGGCCCUCCACAUCCCACAAUAAAUAAAUAAAAAUUGAAAAUUAAAAUCCAAAAAGUAAAAGUAGAAAAAAUCUCCUGUGUUUGCCUUUGCCAGUCCACUCUCGUUUCAAUGUCUCUACGACCCACGUGCUGUUCCGCAACAACGCAUGUUUAGACCGCGCCACGUGGAUUUACUGGGAUAGCGAGUUCCUGCUCACGAGUGUUGUGGACCAACCGGCCAACCUGAAAUGCAGAAACUGCUCUAAUAGCGAUCUCCCGCCAAAAAAGACAAAAUAUUUUCAAAAAUAAAGGCAAACAGAAAAGUACAAAUUGUACCAAAAGUGUUGUAGUUUAAGAUUUCACAGGAACGGAUUCUUGGUCCACCACUAGUAGAGUUG